rnacentral:tRNA from 1 species
GGGGUUGUGGCUCAGUGGUAGAGCACUCACCUAGCAUGUGUGAGGCUCCAAGUUUGAUCCUCAGCACCA